GAUGAACGCUGGCGGCGUGCCUAAUACAUGCCAGUCGAGCGAACAGAUAAGGAGCUUGCUCCUUUGACGUUAGCGGCGGACGGGUGAGUUACACGUGGAUAACCUACCUAUAAGACUGGGAUAACUUCGGGAAACCGGAGCUAAUACCGGAUAACAUAUUGAACCGCAUGGUUCAAUAGUGAAAGGCGGCUUUGCUGUCACUUAUAGAUGGAUCCGCGCCGUAUUAGCUAGUUGGUAAGGUAACGGCUUACCAAGGCAACGAUACGUAGCCGACCUGAGAGGGUGGUCGGCCACACUGGAACUGAGAAACGGUCCAGACUCCUACGGGAGGCAGCAGUAGGGAAUCUUCCGCAAUGGGCGAAAGCCUGACGGAGCAACGCCGCGUGAGUGAUGAAGGUCUUCGGAUCGUAAAACUCUGUUAUCAGGGAAGAACAAAUGUGUAAGUAACUGUGCACAUCUUGACGGUACCUGAUCAGAAAGCCACGGCUAACUACGUG
rnacentral:rRNA from 1 species